UUUAUCUGGACGACCGAUCCAUUAUAAGCUGUGAGUCAUCCCUUUUCUUCUUAAAAGAAGAAAAAACGGAGUUCAAAAAUGUGAUAUAUAAAGACAACAGAAACACAAAAAACGUCAAGGCUUCUUUUAGUCAUUUGAACAUACACUCAAGAUGAAAUGGUCAAACUUUGUUAGAAUAAUCAUCAUCCUAAUAUUGUUGUUGUCCUUCGCUUUGGCACAACAGUGGGGAGGUAGGGCUGGAGGAAACUCUAAUCUCGGUAGAUGGUAUCGAGGAGGAAAAUAGUUCCUUUCAUUAAUAUUUGUAUAUAUAUAUAUAUAUUUGUAUUUUUAUAUUUCAUUUUAUAAUAGCAUCUAUCAUAUAAUGUAUUGUCAAAAAAAUGAUAUUCUAUUACAUUCAUUCAGUUGUAUUGUAAUGAAUAAAUAAACAGUUAAUAAAAUAAACUCAUCAACGAUA